AUUGAACGCUGGCGGCAUGCCUUACACAUGCAAGUCGAACGGUAACAGGUCUUCGGAUGCUGACGAGUGGCGAACGGGUGAGUAAUACAUCGGAACGUGCCCGAUCGUGGGGGAUAACGGAGCGAAAGCUUUGCUAAUACCGCAUACGAUCUACGGAUGAAAGCAGGGGACCGCAAGGCCUUGCGCGGACGGAGCGGCCGAUGGCAGCUUAGGUAGUUGGGGGGAUAAAAGCUUACCAAGCCGACGAUCUGUAGCUGGUCUGAGAGGACGACCAGCCACACUGGGACUGAGACACGGCCCAGACUCCUACGGGAGGCAGCAGUGGGGAAUUUUGGACAAUGGGCGAAAGCCUGAUCCAGCCAUGCCGCGUGCAGGAUGAAGGCCUUCGGGUUGUAAACUGCUUUUGUACGGAACGAAAAGCCUCUUUCUAAUAAAGAGAGGUCAUGACGGUACCGUAAGAAUAAGCACCGGCUAACUACGUGCCAGCAGCCGCGGUAAAAC
rnacentral:rRNA from 1 species